GGAGUGAAAGGCUAAUCAAACUCGGAGAUAGCUGGUUCUCCCCGAAAUAUAUUUAGGUAUAGCGUCACGUAUCGUUAUCGGAGGUAGAGCACUGAAUGGACUAGGGGGCUCACCAGCUUACCAAACCCAAUUAGACUCCGAAUGCCGAUAAACGCUGAGCGUGGCAGUCAGACUGCGGGAGAUAAGUUUCGUAGUCAAAAGGGAAACAACCCAGACCAUCAGCUAAGGUCCCUAAGUUAAUACUAAGUGGAGAAGGAUGUGGGAAUGCUUAUACAGCCAGGAGGUUAGCUUAGAAGCAGCUAUCCUUUAAAGAAAGCGUAAUAGCUCACUGGUCUAGCGCGCCUGCGCCGAAAAUGUAACGGGGCUUAAGUAUUUCACCGAAGCUAUGGAUCUCCUUUAAGGAGAUGGUAGGGGAGCGUUCUAUAUUGGUUGAAGCGGUAUCGUAAGGGAUCGUGGACGGUAUAGAAGUGAUUAUGUUGGCAUGAGUAACGAAAAAACGGGCGAGAAACCCGUUCGCCGAAAACCUAAGGAUUCCGUGGCCAUGUUAAUCAGCCACGGGUUAGUCGGCUCCUAAGGCGAGGCCGAAAGGCGUAGUCGAAGGGAAACUGGUUAAUAUUCCAGUACUUGAGUGUACUGCGAUGGGGUGACGCAGAAAGGUAGGUCAUCCUGCUGUUGGAUUAGCAGGUUUAAGGACGUAGGCUUGAAGGGCAGGAAAAUCCGUUUUUCUUUAAGGCUGAGAUCCGACGACGAAAGCCGCAAGGCUGUAAAGUGACUGAUCCUCGGCUGCCAAGAAAACCCUCUAAGCAUAGGUACAUUCGAACCGUACCCUAAACCGACACAGGUAGGUGAGAAGAGAAUUCUAAGGCGCUUGAGAGAAACCACGUUAAGGAACUCUGCAAAUUGAGUCCGUAACUUCGGGAUAAGGACUGCCGAUAUUAGGUGAAGUGAUUUACUCACAGAGCUGAGGUCGGCCCCAGAAAAGAGGUCCAGGCGACUGUUUACCAAAAACACAGCACUAUGCAAACACGUAAGUGGACGUAUAUGGUGUGACUCCUGCCCGGUGCCGGAAGGUUAAGAGGAGGGGUUAGACUUCGGUCGAAGCUCUGAAUUGAAGCCCCGGUAAACGGCGGCCGUAACGAUAACGGUCCUAAGGUAGCGAAAUUCCUUGUCGGGUAAGUUCCGACCUGCACGAAAGGAGUAACGAUCUGGGCGCUGUCUCAACGUGGUUCUCAGCGAAAUUGAAAUAGCGGUGAAGAUACCGUUAACCCGCGGCAAGACGGAAAGACCCCGUGAACCUUUACUGCAGCUUGGCAUUGAAUCUUGGAAUAUUGUGUGCAGGAUAGGUGGGAGACUUUGAAGGUUAGACGCUAGUCUAGCUGGAGUCACUGUUGAGAUACCACCCUCGGUGUUUUAGGGUUCUAACCUGGGUCCAUUAUCUGGAUUAGGGACAGUGUCUGGUAGGCGGUUUGACUGGGGCGGUCACCUCCCAAAGAGUAACGGAGGUGCGCUAAGGUUCCCUCAGGCUGAUUGGAAACCAGCCGUAGAGUGCAAAGGCAUAAGGGAG
rnacentral:rRNA from 1 species